GAUUUCCUGGCCGAGAGGAAGUUGCUCUUUUAACACUUGAAUUGCGUGUGAGGCGGCCAUACUGCCCCCCCCCCACCCCAAAAAAAAUGGAGGCCUACCACUUCUCUCUCAGCUCGAAGCAAGGAGAUGUCAGGGCCUCCGUUAGCUGCAGUGAGAGAGCUCGUGAUGUAUCCGCUCGAAGUGCGUGUACCUGAUUGGAGCGGGGAUGGUCUUGCUCCGGCCGGACCAGGAAACGGCCUGCGUGAUGUUGUUGCAGACUUGUUCUGCCUGCGAGAAUGCCCAGCUAAAGUCGAAGAAGAGAAUAUCCGGCUUUUUCUCAUUGGGGCUUUGGCACACGAGGAGGAGGAGAGAUGGAAAGCGCUCCUCCGAGUUGAUGGAUUCGCAGCGGAAGAUGGAGAUUGUUGGCCUGAGCCAGCUGGAGGAGACGAGACUGGGCCUCCUCCACGCUCUUCACGUCUCCUCUCUGGAGGGAGAAGGUGAUCAAGUGCUGAACAAAGAAACAAAAAGGACAAGUUAGUCAC